UGUUUCUGUGGUCUCUUCAUCCUCAGUGACCCCAGAGCCAGUGAGAACAUCUAGAGAAACACCAAAAGACACUGAGGAUGGACCUACAAUCCCCUGGAACGACCUGGAUUGCUCAGGGACAUACUGGUGGUUUUGAACCAGCAACCUUCUGCUCACCAGUUCAGUGGUUUAGCCCACUACAAAAGUAGUCAUGUUCAUGGAGAGCAGACACACAAAUGUUUGGAGCAGACACAGUGGCAGCCAGAUUGUUCCGCAUGUGUUCCCCUGCUCUUGCUUCUA